AUAAUCAGAAGCAUCCAUCAGCAGUGUAUAGAUCACUGAAAUCUGAAGACUAUUUUGUCCACCCUAACUCCCACAGCCUGUCUGCUAUCUGGAAUGUGGUUGGGAGAGAGGAAUUCUGGCAGGCAAUUUAACCAGACAAAGAGGGGCCACAUAUAGGGAUGGAGAAACAAUGGGCUGGCAGUUUUCUGGAUUCCCAAAUAUAUUGUGGAACUGUUCUGUAAAGCUUUUAUUAAUCACUCAUUCUGAAGAGUGGCUUGAAUCUGCAUGGGAUGGAAUAAUAGAUAUCUUUCUAUUUAAUAAAUUCAAAAAAAGGGAAAAAUCUACAAGCAAUUCUGGCUGUUGCACCUGAGCUUUAUCCUUCUUAGAUUUCAAC